rnacentral:rRNA from 1 species
UACGGGGGGGGCAAGCGUUGUUCGGAAUUACUGGGCGUAAAGGGCUCGUAGGUGGCCAACUAAGUCAGACGUGAAAUCCCUCAGCUUAACUGGGGAACUGCGUCUGAUACUGGAUGGCUUGAGUUUGGGAGAGGGACGCGGAAUUCCAGGUGUAGCGGUGAAAUGCGUAGAUAUCUGGAGGAGCACCGGUGGCGAAGGCGGCGUCCUGGACCAACACUGACACUGAUGAGCGAAAGCCAGGGGAGCAAACGGG